rnacentral:lncRNA from 1 species
CGCCAUUGACCAAGACUUUUUUUUUCGUUUUCCGGCCAGAAAUGGCCUUUUUUGGUUUUUUUUAACAAAAAUUAAUAUUAUUAAUAAUAAUAAUUAUUAUGAUAGAGAGAUCUAGAUCGGGGAAGAACGCAAAUUAAAUCCAGUAGAAGAAACCAUAACAGUAGAAGAAAACAAAAAUCAACAAGAAGAUCUGGGAAGAACGAAAAUCAAAUCCAGUAGUAAACGAGAAUUAAAUCCACUGGUAAACGAAAAUCAACAGAGAGAUCUAGAUCUAACAAAAUCAGAUUUCAAAUCUAGAUCUAGAUCAAUGAAAACUGGGUUUUUUGGGUUUUGUUUUGUUUGUUUAAAUUUGACGAUUUUGGGUUUGAUUUGUGUUUAUAACUGUUAAAUAAGUGUUUUUAAAGGUGAUUUGGGGAUUUUUUUUGGGUUUUUAGGGUUCUAGUAGUGGUGGCACCGCCGACGGAACCCAGUCGACACGGUGGUAGGCGCGGCGGGUCCUGGUUUGGUGAUGAUGAAUGUUCUUGAAGAAGUGAAAGGAGAGAAGAGAAGAGAGAGCGUGAGAG